GGGGAUGUCUUGGUUUCGACAGGUUUAUGUUGGAUUUGGAUUGCAGUGGAGUGGUUACCUUAUAACCAAACAAAAUUAUUCGGCAAUAACGAAUUAGCAUUUGCUUAAUCGGUUGAGCGACGUUAGCUCCCAAAGCAGCUUCUGAUUGUAAAGUUUGUAGCAAUCAGUCGUAAACACAAACUAGGUGAAGAAAGUUAGCCUUAUCUUUCAAUCCGAAAACCGAAAAGGCAGAUUCAAUACUUGGUAGUUUAGGUCGUUUGUAUUGUCUUAUUAAAAGCUAAACUAAACUGUAGAAGUCUGAAUGUGGGACUAUUCUUGGACAGGGGUUCAAUCCCCCUCAUCUCCACCA
rnacentral:tmRNA from 1 species